CCAACUUUAGUGGAACGACCCCAAGUUGAGAAAACCAGAAGAAACAACCUCUUAUUAAAGACUGAGCAUGGAACAACCCCAGUGCUGAACAAGGCCUUGAAACCCCUAAAAAAGUGAGAGGCAGACAAGCCAUGAUGGGGAAUUCACUCUCUUCAACUUCAUGGAGCACAGGCAUGCAUGCCUGUAUUACCCCGCUCAUAUCCUCAAUAAGCCUGGACCCGGCCAUCCAGUGCUAAUACUGAGUAACAUUUGCUGGCACAAUCCUGCACUGCUAAAGCUUGCCAAUCAUUGAAUUAAGCAAAGGGCAAAUAUGGGCUCUCCAGUAGAAUCACUUUUGGGAGAAACUGCUAAACUUUCUCCAGACUCAGGAGGACUAUGCAUAUCUGCAAGAUAAAAUAUGAACUUUAUUUUAACAUUAUUUUUACCCUGCACUUCACAGACAUAGAGCAUAAUCAACUAACUGUGUGGAAGAAGAGUUUUGCCUUAAGAAACAAAAUCUGUUUUAUAUGCAAAAAUGUGUCCCAUUUACAUCAAUGGAAAAUUUUCUUGCAUAGAGAAUAUAGAAUUAGGCCUUCUGCAAGGUAUGUCAUUAGGCAAAGUAAUGAUUAAAGCCAAACUAGUGAAUGUA